UACGUAGGGGGCGAGCGUUGUCCGGAAUCAUUGGGCGUAAAGCGCGUGUAGGCGGCCCGGUAAGUCCGCUGUGAAAGUCCAGGGCUCAACCCUGGGAUGCCGGUGGAUACUGUCGGGCUUGAGUACGGAAGAGGCGAGUGGAAUUCCUGGUGUAGCGGUGAAAUGCGCAGAUAUCAGGAGGAACACCGGUGGCGAAGGCGGGUCUCUGGGCCGAUACUGACGCUGAGGAGCGAAAGCGUGGGGAGCAAACAGG
rnacentral:rRNA from 1 species